CAUCCAAGAUGCCAGCUAGAUACAGACAAGGGCUGGCAGGUCUGCCCUUGGACUUUGGAAUAUUUUCCCUCAUUGGAGGUACCAUCUGGCUGGUCUGAUCUGAUAUCUACUUCACCAGUCUUUGGAGUCUGGUGUGGGCCAGUCAGAAACAUGAUACUGUGUUGCACAUCGACCUUUGGAUGUAGCCACCAUUAAAUGAUGAUUUACUAAUCCUGCUCUAUAAAAAUAAACCCCUGAUGAUCUGUC